AACGAACGCUGGCGGCAUGCCUAACACAUGCAAGUCGAACGGGAUCCUGGUUUCGGCCAGGUGAGAGUGGCGGACGGGUGAGUAACGCGUGGGAACCUGCCCAGUGGUGGGGGAUAACUGCGGGAAACUGCAGCUAAUACCGCAUGAGCCCGCAAGGGGAAAGAUUGAUCGCCAUUGGAGGGGCCCGCGUUCGAUUAGGUAGUUGGUGAGGUAACGGCUCACCAAGCCUACGANCGAUAGCUGGUCUGAGAGGAUGAUCAGCCACACUGGGACUGAGAUACGGCCCAGACUCCUACGGGAGGCAGCAGUGGGGAAUAUUGGACAAUGGGGGCAACCCUGAUCCAGCAAUGCCGCGUGAGUGAUGAAGGCCUUCGG
rnacentral:rRNA from 1 species